rnacentral:rRNA from 1 species
GAUGAACGCUAGCUACAGGCUUAACACAUGCAAGUCGAGGGGAAACGACAUCGAAAGCUUGCUUUUGAUGGGUGUCGACCGGCGCACGGGUGAGUAACGCGUAUCCAACCUGCCCACCACUUGGGGAUAACCUUGCGAAAGUAAGACUAAUACCCAAUGGAUAUCCCCACGAAGGCAUCCGAAUGGGAUUAAAGAUUUAUCGGUGAUGGAUGGGGAUGCGUCUGAUUAGUUUGCUGGCGGGGUAACGGCCCACCAGGACGACGAUCAGUAGGGGUUCUGAGAGGAAAGUCCCCCACAUUGGAACUGAGACACGGUCCAAACUCCUACGGGAGGCAGCAGUGAGGAAUAUUGGUCAAUGGCCGAGAGGCUGAACCAGCCAAGUAGCGUGCAGGAUGACGGCCCUAUGGGUUGUAAACUGCUUUUAUACGGGGAUAAAGUCAGCUACGUGUAGUUGUUUGCAGGUACCGUAUGAAUAAGGACCGGCUAAUUCCGUG